AUUGAACGCUGGCGGAAUGCUUUACACAUGCAAGUCGAACGGCAGCACGGGGGCAACCCUGGUGGCGAGUGGCGAACGGGUGAGUAAUACAUCGGAACGUGCCCAGUCGUGGGGGAUAACGUAGCGAAAGUUACGCUAAUACCGCAUACGAUCUACGGAUGAAAGCGGGGGAUCGCAAGACCUCGCGCGAUUGGAGCGGCCGAUGUCAGAUUAGGUAGUUGGGGGGGUAAAGGCCUACCAAGCCGACGAUCUGUAGCUGGUCUGAGAGGACGACCAGCCACACUGGGACUGAGACACGGCCCAGACUCCUCCGGGAGGCAGCAGUGGGGAAUUUUGGACAAUGGGCGCAAGCUUGAUCCAGCCAUUCCGCGUGCAGGAUGAAGGCCUUCGGGUUGUAAACUGCUUUUGUACGGAGCGAAAAGGCUCUCUCUAAUACAGGGGGCUCAUGACGGUACCGUAAGAAUAAGCACCGGCUAACUACGUGCCAGCAGCCGCCGUAACAC
rnacentral:rRNA from 1 species